UACAGAGGGGGCAAGCGUUGUUCGGAAUUACUGGGCGUAAAGGGCGCGUAGGCGGCCUGCUAAGUCGAACGUGAAAUCCCUGGGCUCAACCCAGGAACUGCGUCCGAUACUGGUUGGCUUGAAUCCGGGAGAGGGACGUGGAAUUCCAGGUGUAGCGGUGAAAUGCGUAGAUAUGUGGAGGAACACCUGUGGCGAAGGCGCCUUGCUGGCCAAUUUCUGACGCUGAGGCGCGAAAGCGUGGGGAGCAAACAGG
rnacentral:rRNA from 1 species